CGAACGUUGGCGGCGUGCUUAACACAUGCAAGUCGAACGAGAACGUCCCGGCUUGCCGGGAUUAGUAAAGUGGCGCACGGGUGAGUAACACGUGAGUAAUUUCCCUCUAAGCUUGGGAUAACACUGCGAAAGCGGUGCUAAUACCGAAUAAGACCACGGUAUCACAUGAUACAGUGGGAAAAGGUGGCCUCUGUAUAUGCUAUCACUUGGAGAUAAGCUCGCGGACCAUUAGCUUGUUGGUAGGGUAACGGCCUACCAAGGCCAAGAUGGUUAGCUGGUCUGAGAGGAUGAUCAGCCACACUGGAACUGAGAUACGGUCCAGACUCCUACGGGAGGCAGCAGUGGGGAAUAUUGCGCAAUGGGGGAAACCCUGACGCAGUGACGCCGUGUGAGUGAUGAAGGUUUUCGGAUCGUAAAGCUCUGUCAGAUGGGAAGAAUAAAGGCAGGGAAAAUAUUUCUGCCUGAUGACGGUACCAUCAGAGGAAGCACCGGCUAACUCC
rnacentral:rRNA from 1 species